AGUGAACGCUGGCGGUAGGCCUAACACAUGCAAGUCGAACGGCAGCACAGUAAGAGCUUGCUCUUACGGGUGGCGAGUGGCGGACGGGUGAGGAAUACAUCGGAAUCUACUUUUUCGUGGGGGAUAACGUAGGGAAACUUACGCUAAUACCGCAUACGACCUACGGGUGAAAGCAGGGGAUCUUCGGACCUUGCGCGAUUGAAUGAGCCGAUGUCGGAUUAGCUAGUUGGCGGGGUAAAGGCCCACCAAGGCGACGAUCCGUAGCUGGUCUGAGAGGAUGAUCAGCCACACUGGAACUGAGACACGGUCCAGACUCCUACGGGAGGCAGCAGUGGGGAAUAUUGGACAAUGGGCGCAAGCCUGAUCCAGCCAGACCGCGUGGGUGAAGAAGGUCUUCGGGUUGUAAAGCCCUUUUGUUGGGAAAGAAAAGCAGCAGGUUAAUACCCCGCUGUUCUGACGGUACCCAAAGAAUAAGCACCGGCUAACUUCGUG
rnacentral:rRNA from 1 species